AACGAACGCUGGCGGCAGGCCUAACACAUGCAAGUCGAGCGAGACCUUCGGGUCUAGCGGCGGACGGGUGAGUAACGCGUGGGAAUAUGCCCUUUGGUACGGAAUAGCCGCGGGAAACUGAGAGUAAUACCGUAUGUGCCCUUCGGGGGCAAGAUUUAUCGCCAAAGGAUUAGCCCGCGUUGGAUUAGGUAGUUGGUGGGGUAAUGGCCUACCAAGCCUACGAUCCAUAGCUGGUUUGAGAGGAUGAUCAGCCACACUGGGACUGAGACACGGCCCAGACUCCUACGGGAGGCAGCAGUGGGGAAUCUUAGACAAUGGGGGCAACCCUGAUCUAGCCAUGCCGCGUGAGUGAUGAAGGCCUUAGGGUUGUAAAGCUCUUUCAGCUGGGAAGAUAAUGACGGUACCAGCAGAAGAAGCCCCGGCUAACUCCGUGCCAGCAGCCGCGGUAA
rnacentral:rRNA from 1 species